rnacentral:lncRNA from 1 species
AAAGAGGGUAGAAGAGAGGCAUUAUCUUCGUCAGUCAUUACACUUCAUUUUUUGAUUCCAUUUUUGUGUGGUUGCGUCCGAACAUAAGCUACGUAUUUCCACAGUCACGCAAAUACUCGCGGAGCUCUUGAGCUGAACGUGGAGGAAAAAGUGGAACAGCCAGAAGUCGAUGCAAAAGAUGAAGAAGAAAUACACCAUGGAGAGAGAAAAAAUGGAACGCUUCUGGAGGGAAAGACUAGCAUUGACGGUCAAGGCACCCAUCGAACGAUUUAUGUCAAUUGUUCAACAGCGGGCAUAACGUGCCGCACAGUAAUGUGUGAUCUUAACAUGUCAAAAACAUCUGGAGAAGUAGAAAUUUCAAUUCUAGAUAUGAUAUUUGACCUACAGCCGUUACUUACAUCCAACGGAUAUUCUUUCAUCAGCUUCAGCACCGACGCGCGAGCACUAAUCCUUGAACCGAUAUUAUUGAACACGAUGAAUGGUUCGCGCUUCGUAGAGGCUAAAGGGUCCACGGUACCUAAUCGACAAUUCGCCGGAGACUCAGACAUUGGCGGGUUUGGUCUUACCAGUUUCGUUAUGCGUUGGCCUUCUAUCAGUCGUCCUUAAUUCUGCUCAUCGUUAUGUUGAAAGUUGGUUUCUUCAACAGACCAAAGAAGGCCAUGAUCGCUUCGGUACAAAAAAUGACGUUGAAGUUGAAGGAGGACGACGGCUACGAAGAACUUAAUCUCCACGAGUAAUCGAAUAAAAUAUGUCGAGAUCUUCACGUAAAGACAUUACCUAUAAUUGUCAUAACGAAGUUCGUAUGUAUGUGUCUCGCGCAGUUUUCCACUGGCUGAUCACAAACGCCUACUACAUCUCUAAAUUGAGACUUCAUCAGUUUUUACAUUAUACAUAUUCGAUAUAAAUACGGAGUUCUAGAGAAACUAUGUAGAAGAAUAAUAAUAAAAUGUCUGACUAUCAUCG